GGGCGGAGCGACCGCGGGGAGCUUGCGGGGCCGCCCGGCCUCCUCCGGCCGGGAGGGCCUUCCUCGGGCCUGCGGCUGCUGUGCGGGUUGCGGAGCCCGGCGCCGGAGUUGCCGGUAGUGAGGACAGACGGUGCUGAAGGGCCCUGGCUUUGGGCUGCUGCCUGCCUUUUAGGACGCCAUCCCCGCCGCUGACGUCUCCCGGAGGUGUUGGCCCCUGCCGCAGUAACCAUUCGCUGUGCUCCUGUUGCUGUGCGUCUCUCCUCACAGUGCCCGCCGACCGAGAUUAAAACUUUUUUUUUUUUUUUUUCACUUCCCGUAGUCUGUCGUUUUUGUCUUGAGAACUUGGAAAAAAAGUAAAAAUCGAGUUUCUUCGGA